GAUGAACGCUGGCGGCGUGCAUAACACAUUCAAGUCGAACGGAGCUUUAGAGAUUAAUCCUUCGGGAAGCGUUUUUAAAGCUUAGUGGCGGACGGGUGAGUAACGCGUGAGCAACCUGCCUGUGAUAGCGGGAUAACACAUGGAAACGUGUGCUAAUACCGCAUGAAGCAUCAAUACUGCAUGGUGAAGAUGUUAAAGAGAAAUCGAUCACAGAUGGGCUCGCGUAUGAUUAGAUAGUUGGUGAGGUAACGGCUCACCAAGUCUGCGAUCAUUAGCCGAACUGAGAGGUUGAACGGCCACAUUGGAACUGAGAAACGGUCCAG
rnacentral:rRNA from 1 species